AGCUACAGCCAUAUCACUCUGCAGCCCAAGACCGGUUACUCACUGAAGCUAAGCAGGGCUGAGCCUGGUCAGUACCUGGAUGGGAGACCACUAGGGAACACUAGGUUGCUGUUGGAA
rnacentral:rRNA from 1 species